rnacentral:rRNA from 1 species
AGAGUUUGAUCCUGGCUCAGAACGAACGCUGGCGGCGCGCCUAAUACAUGCAAGUCGAGCGAGAAGASGUAGCAAUACGUUUGUAAAGCGGCGAACGGGUGAGGAAUACAUGGGUAACCUACCCCAGAGUGGGGAAUAACUAGCCGAAAGGUUAGCUAAUACCGCGUACGCUCCYUGGACUUCGGUUCAGGGAGGAAAGCGAUACCGAGGGUAUCGCGCUCUUGGAUGGGCUCAUGUCCUAUCAGCUUGUUGGUGAGGUAACGGCUCACCAAGGCUUCGACGGGUAGCUGGUCUGAGAGGACGAUCAGCCACACUGGCACUGCGACACGGGCCAGACUCCUACGGGAGGCAGCAGUAAGGAAUAUUGCGCAAUGGGCGAAAGCCUGACGCAGCGACGCCGCGUGGGGGAUGAAGGUCUUCGGAUUGUAAACCCCUUUCGGGAGGGAAGAUGGAAUGGGGUAACCCAUUCGGACGGUACCUCCAGAAGCAGCCACGGCUAACUUCGUGCCAGCAGCCGCGGUAAUAC